GAUGAAGAACGUAGCGAAAUGCGAUACGUAAUGUGAAUUGCAGAAUUCAGUGAAUCAUCGAAUCUUUGAACGCACAUUGCGCCCGCCAGUAUUCUGGCGGGCAUGCCUGUCCGAGCGUCAUUUCAACCCUCGGGCCCCCCUCUGCGGGCGGCCCGGCGUUGGGGCUCAGGCGCCGUCUCUGCUCGGCGCCUGUCCCCUAAAUGCAGUGGCGGCCUCGCCGCUGCCUCCUCCGCGUAGUAGCACAAACCUCGCGGCUGGAAGGCGGCGCGGCCACGCCGUAAAACCCCCCAACUUUACCAAGGUUGACCUCGGAUCAGGUAGGAAUACCCGCUGAACUUAAGCAUAUCAAUAAGCGGAGGA
rnacentral:misc_RNA from 1 species